rnacentral:lncRNA from 1 species
UUUUUUUAAUGCUGAAAAUUAGGGUUUAAUAUACACCAUCUGCCUAAGUCCGACCCCCAAAACCAUCGCGUUCUCAUUUGCUACAUCGCAUGUUCUUUUUCAAAGAGUUUCAGGUCUUUAUGAUGCGGAUUGAGAUGUACAGGACUCCAGGUUGCUGAAGAGCGCUUAAGGAAACAACACAAGAUCAAAUGGUUCAGAGGUGGAGAAGAUGACUCGAUCAACAACUGCAUGAACUACCACCGUUAAAUUUUCAGGGUUCCCCUUACUAAGGAGCUCGACCGCACCAUGUCGUCUACCCGAAUCAUCAAAGGUGGAACCACCAAUCUUGGCGCCUUGAACAUGGUCCAGGGUGAACCCGUUGUCCGGACCAACUCCAGCUUCUACCAACGCAUUGAAAGUAGUAGUUUGGAAUGCACCUAAACUAGCUCUACGUGUAACAAUACUAUCUUCUACCCACUCAUAUGCACUUUUAACCGCACUCAUAUCCCAUUCAAUACCCGAGUUUUCAUAAAAGUAGUCAUCAGCUCGGGACCAAAACCCGAAAUUUAUCAUGCUACUACCUCCAAGAACCCUCCCUCUAUGGCAUAAUACACCUUCUUCAGUGAUAAAGUCUUCAGCAGGGGAAUCAAAGGGGUCUACAUAUAAGAGGGGGUUGAACAUUCUGUCUUCGUAGUAGAUGUCAGCGUUCGAAGUGGCCGCUACACCACCUCGCUCAAGCAGUAAUACAGAAUACUUUUCGGAUAAGGUGGCGGCUAAUGGGCAACCGGUGGUCCCUCCUCCGACGAUAAUGUAAUCGUAUUCUUUCGCUGGAGAGAAAUCAGUGGCUUCGUGUGUAAAACCAAAGUAACUUUCAUCUGCAUGCCAUAGACAAAGAGUGUUCUUUAAGUGGUUUAUUAACAAAAAACCUAUACAAUGUGUAUAAGAUGCAGCAUAGGAAGGGGGUGUGA